UACGUAGGGUGCAAGCGUUAAUCGGAAUUACUGGGCGUAAAGCGUGCGCAGGCGGUUUUGUAAGUCUGUCGUGAGAUCCCCGGGCUUAACCUGGGAAUGGCGAUGGAGACUGCAAGGCUAGAGUUUGGCAGAGGGGGGUAGAAUUCCACGUGUAGCAGUGAAAUGCGUAGAGAUGUGGAGGAACACCGAUGGCGAAGGCAGCCCCCUGGGUCAAAACUGACGCUCAUGCACGAAAGCGUGGGGAGCAAACAGG
rnacentral:rRNA from 1 species